ACAGGAGGGAGCUUGCUUCCUUGCUGACGAGUGGCGGACGGGUGAGUAAUGCUUGGGAAUCUGUCUUAGGGAGGGGGAUAACCACGGGAAACUGUGGCUAAUACCGCGUAUAAUCGGAAGAUGAGAGGUGUGGGACUGAAGAGCCACAUGCCCUGAGGUGAGCCCAAGUGAGAUUAGGUAGUUGGUGGGGUAAGGGCCUACCAAGCCGACGAUCUCUAGCUGGUCUGAGAGGAUGACCAGCCACACUGGGAUUGAGACACGGCCCAGACUCCUACGGGAGGCAGCAGUGGGGAAUAUUGCGCAAUGGGGGGAACCCUGACGCAGCCAUGCCGCGUGAAUGAAGAAGGCCUUCGGGUUGUAAAGUUCUUUCAGUGGUGAGGAAGGUAAUAAUGUUAAUAGUAUUAUUAAUUGACGUUAGCCACAGAAGAAGCACCGGCUAAUUCCGUGCCAGCAGCCGCGGUAAUACGGAAGGUGCGAGCGUUAAUCGGAAUAACUGGGCGUAAAGGGCACGCAGGCGGUAACUUAAGUGAGGUGUGAAAGCCCAGGGCUUAACCUUGGAAUUGCACUUCAUACUGAGUUGCUAGAGUACUCUAGGGAGGGGUAGAAUUCCACGUGUAGCGGUGAAAUGCGUAGAGAUGUGGAGGA
rnacentral:rRNA from 1 species